UUGUGUGUUAGUGGAACGGUCUGGAAAGUCCGACGGUACAGGGUGAUAGUCCCGUACACCAAAAUGCACAGGUUGUGAACUCGAAGAGUAGGGCGGGACACGUGGUAUCCUGUCUGAAUAUGGGGGGACCAUCCUCCAAGGCUAAAUACUCCUGACUGACCGAUAGUGAACCAGUACCGUGAGGGAAAGGCGAAAAGAACCCCGGCGAGGGGAGUGAAAAAGAACCUGAAACCGUGUACGUACAAGCAGUGGGAGCCUCUUUAUGGGGUGACUGCGUACCUUUUGUAUAAUGGGUCAGCGACUUAUAUUCUGUAGCAAGGUUAACCGUAUAGGGGAGCCGAAGGGAAACCGAGUCUUAACUGGGCGUUAAGUUGCAGGGUAUAGACCCGAAACCCGGUGAUCUAGCCAUGGGCAGGUUGAAGGUUGGGUAACACUAACUGGAGGACCGAACCGACUAAUGUUGAAAAAUUAGCGGAUGACUUGUGGCUGGGGGUGAAAGGCCAAUCAAACCGGGAGAUAGCUGGUUCUCCCCGAAAGCUAUUUAGGUAGCGCCUCGUGAAUUCAUCUUCGGGGGUAGAGCACUGUUUCGGCUAGGGGGUCAUCCCGACUUACCAACCCGAUGCAAACUGCGAAUACCGAAGAAUGUUAUCACGGGAGACACACGGCGGGUGCUAACGUCCGUCGUGAAGAGGGAAACAACCCAGACCGCCAGCUAAGGUCCCAAAGUCAUGGUUAAGUGGGAAACGAUGUGGGAAGGCACAGACAGCCAGGAUGUUGGCUUAGAAGCAGCCAUCAUUUAAAGAAAGCGUAAUAGCUCACUGGUCGAGUCGGCCUGCGCGGAAGAUGUAACGGGGCUAAACCAUGCACCGAAGCUGCGGCAGCGACACUAUGUGUUGUUGGGUAGGGGAGCGUUCUGUAAGCCGUUGAAGGUGUGCUGUGAGGCAUGCUGGAGGUAUCAGAAGUGCGAAUGCUGACAUAAGUAACGAUAAUGCGGGUGAAAAACCCGCACGCCGGAAGACCAAGGGUUCCUGUCCAACGUUAAUCGGGGCAGGGUGAGUCGACCCCUAAGGCGAGGCCGAAAGGCGUAGUCGAUGGGAAACAGGUUAAUAUUCCUGUACUUGGUGUUACUGCGAAGGGGGGACGGAGAAGGCUAUGUUAGCCGGGCGACGGUUGUCCCGGUUUAAGCAUGUAGGCGGAGGUUCCAGGUAAAUCCGGUACCUUUUUAACGCUGAGGUGUGAUGACGAGGCACUACGGUGCUGAAGUAACAAAUGCCCUGCUUCCAGGAAAAGCCUCUAAGCAUCAGGUAACACGAAAUCGUACCCCAAACCGACACAGGUGGUCAGGUAGAGAAUACCAAGGCGCUUGAGAGAACUCGGGUGAAGGAACUAGGCAAAAUGGUGCCGUAACUUCGGGAGAAGGCACGCUGAUAUGUAGGUGAAGUGAUUUACUCAUGGAGCUGAAAUCAGUCGAAGAUACCAGCUGGCUGCAACUGUUUAUUAAAAACACAGCACUGUGCAAACACGAAAGUGGACGUAUACGGUGUGACGCCUGCCCGGUGCCGGAAGGUUAAUUGAUGGGGUUAUCCGUAAGGAGAAGCUCUUGAUCGAAGCCCCGGUAAACGGCGGCCGUAACUAUAACGGUCCUAAGGUAGCGAAAUUCCUUGUCGGGUAAGUUCCGACCUGCACGAAUGGCGUAAUGAUGGCCAGGCUGUCUCCACCCGAGACUCAGUGAAAUUGAACUCGCUGUGAAGAUGCAGUGUACCCGCGGCAAGACGGAAAGACCCCGUGAACCUUUACUAUAGCUUGACACUGAACACUGGUCCUUGAUGUGUAGGAUAGGUGGGAGGCUUUGAAGUGUGGACGCCAGUCUGCAUGGAGCCAUCCUUGAAAUACCACCCUUUAAUGGCU
rnacentral:rRNA from 1 species